AGCAAAUCCCAAACAGCGUUUGUCCUAAACUUAAAGUCACAAGUGAGUAUUGCUUUUCCUUUAACGGAGUGGUUUUCUAAUAUCUUCACUCAAGAAAGAUCCUGCCGUGAAGACUCCUGAGGCGGCUUUGCCGUCAGCUCCUCACCAUUGUGGAGCCCAGCUUGACUCAGCCAUGGCAUGGAGUACAGCACUGCUUCUGCUAAGCACACCCACAGGAGCUGAGGGCGCUGUCCUCCAGGCUCUGCCCCACUCGUCUCGCUGGGGUCCCCGGGAAACUCCUGGCAGGAAGUGCAGCUCCGAAUCUCGGAAAAGACCAACUUGAGGUCCCUUGUCUGAGAUGGGAAAAUGGCCGUAUCGUUUGUGGCCUGUGUGUGUUGUGUCUGGUUCCUGUGGUUUGUUUUCCUGCUUUGAAAACGAAACCCUUCAUGGCUCUGGGAUGGAAAGCAGACCACGUUUUUUGUCAGCGAAGCCAUUCGUCAUGUUCCCCAGAGGGGACUGUGAACUCCCGCAGCCUUGGACCCCGCCAGCAUGCAGACCACCCAUGUUGUAGAGCUGGGAACACCACCAGGCAACACAUCAUAAAGUCAACUGGGCACUAGGCUCUCUGCCAGCAGCCCUCCCAGCCCUGGGGACUCAGGUCUGAAAAGUGCCAGGGACAGUCGAUCUCACCUGGUGGUUCAGGUCUCCUGCAGGGUCAGUCCUGAACACCAACUGGGUGGAGGCUAAACUUGCCUAAUCGUCCAGAAUGAACAGGGCCUCUCAGAUCUGCCCCAAACUGAGCUCAACAAGGAAACGACUUUACUGCUCUGGUAAAAAUUGUUUGGCUGUAUUUAAGUUCAUCUCUUUUGUUUUUUACGGUUCUGCAGAAAGCUAGUUGUAAAAAUGCUCUGCAGCAAAGAACUUCUGUUAGCAAAUGUCUGCACCUGCUGAGUAGGGGCAGCAGGGGAGGAAGCCAAGCAGAAGUGGGCUGCAGAAGGAGUUCCCAGGCAGCUGUUUCGGCAGCCUAGUGACUUAGCAACUCACCUGUCUCACCUGGUUGCUCACUGAAAGUACAGCAAGGUCCACCUGGGUUUGCGGAGUUUGGAGCCUGGAGCCUGCAUUUACAACCCAGUUCCUGGGUGACUGUGGCCAAACCUGCUUGGGAACUAGGCUAACAGGGAAGCAGUCAGCUUAAGGAGUCAGUCGGUGUCCCUGGCACUGUCACUCAGUGGGAGCCCGAGAGGGUGGGUUUCCCUGUCUCUAGGGGAUAAAGGCAGCACUGGACUGUUCCAGGACUGUUCGUAGAGCCAGGGGAGAGGAUGCUGUUGUUUUACAAAGGUGUAUGAAGGGCGAGGCGAUGAGCACAGAGCUCAAUCUUCUGACUUUUUUUUUUUUAAAAAACGCUUGGUGUAAAUGUGGAAAAGCACCACUUAGGCUGGGAACCAGAGCAUAGGGCAGAGCAGGAACUGAUCAUAACUGGCCUCAGCCAGGAACAAGCUGAGCCUGGAGACGCUAUUUAAAACUGUGUUCCCUCUUAUGUCUCGGUUCAUUUUUAUAGAAAGUGAUGACUAAUUCCCAUUGUAAUGUCCAUAAAGAUGUCACAGUAAACAGA